GGGUAGUUAAAGCUUUUGAAAAGUUCUUUCUUUCCAGGGUUUUUGUAGUUGGUUGAAAACGUGAGUCGUAGGUUCAAGAACAAGCUCAAUCCGACUUUAGAUGAGCGAGUUGUGAAGCUUAGAAAAUUUGACGUUGAAACAUCUUUCGUCGAAAAAUGGGUCCCAAUAGGUUUUUGAGCUGAUUUUUAGAUAAGUUAGAGAACCAUGAAAAUUUUUCUGUUCGGAGGGAUUUGAAGAAUUUGUUACAAGGAAGAAACUGACGUAACGACGAGCUCAUUCCAACAUUGAAUAAGCAAGUUAUGAUGCUUUAAAGUAGGCGCGUUAAAAUUGUUCGAAGUCGAAAAUUUUGACAAAGCUUGAAAAAGUUAUGCAGGGUGGGCGCACCCCGCGCCACCCAAAGUUUUAAAUUGACACGCCCCGCGCCAGACCAGCAGUCGACUGGACAGCUUUAACGUCCUUUAGUAAAUUGGAC
rnacentral:lncRNA from 1 species